GACCACAUAUUGGCUUGUAAAAUGAGUUGAAAUCAUAGAUGGAAUAAAUUCUUCUACAAAAAAAAAGUCAAAAUCUCUUACGCAUCGUUAGACCAUUAAACAAAGAUUUAUUGAGCGAAAAAUGUUGCCGUACACUGUUGUUAAAAAUCUUUCAACUCCCCUAAAAGAUGCUAAACAUAUUUGGUAGUCUAAGCAAAAGCUGAUAUCACCGUCGUCCAUGACGUGCAACAAAUGGGAUCAGGAUGGAAAACUUAGAAUAUUUACUACCAGUGAUUACAUAAAAGGUUGCAAAAUUGGUGGUGAGUUAGUGGUGGGAGAGAGGCUACCUUCCGCUGAUGCAGAUUAAUUGACAGCAAUAACGUGGAAAGUUCCACGCCAAAGAGCUGCAAUCACAAUAAACAAUCGAAGAUUUUUCUAAUCGAUUCUCACUUUUGCGCUCUCAGCAUUACCUUUCGGGGCAGUAAAGAGCUCGCAAACAAAACAUUAACGGUGUGGGAAAGAUAUCAAAAUUUUUAUGAGGAGAGCGAGAAGCCAGAUAUAUUUGCAGGCAGAAAGAGGCUGAAAUGCGAAUGGACUGACCGACGAUCAGAGUUAAUUCAGUUUAUGAAGGAAAUAUUCGUCCAACCUGUUUGACUGCAGUGAAAAUGAAACACACCGAGAUGGCGAAACCGAAACAGAAGUUCAUUACCCCAUCUAUAAGCAAGUUCGAAAAUCAGUCACCUACUUAAAAAACGACAAAAGGAUAGGAGCCGAUGAACUGCCCGCUGAGCUAAUACGGCAGCGAAGAACUAGUCAAGUGCAUGCAUUUGCUUCUAUGCCGUAUAUGGUUGGAGGAAAGCAUGCCGAACGAUAGCAACCUAAGUGUGGUCUGCUGGAACCACAAUGUGAAUCAAUAUGAACACGAACGCACAUUUAAAACAAUGAUGGAAUGUCUACGACUUAUCACAACUACAUAUUUUCGAG